rnacentral:tRNA from 1 species
GUAGACAUAGUUUAAACAAAACAUUAGAUUGUGAAUCUAACAAUAGAAACUAGACCUUUCUUGUCUACC